rnacentral:rRNA from 1 species
GCGGCGUGCCUAAUACAUGCAAGUAGAACGCUGAAGCUUGGUGCUUGCACCGAGCGGAUGAGUUGCGAACGGGUGAGUAACGCGUAGGUAACCUGCCUCUUAGCGGGGGAUAACUAUUGGAAACGAUAGCUAAUACCGCAUAAAAGUCGACAUUGCAUGAUGUUGACUUGAAAGGUGCAACUGCAUCACUAAGAGAUGGACCUGCGUUGUAUUAGCUAGUUGGUGAGGUAACGGCUCACCAAGGCGACGAUACAUAGCCGACCUGAGAGGGUGAUCGGCCACACUGGGACUGAGACACGGCCCAGACUCCUACGGGAGGCAGCAGUAGGGAAUCUUCGGCAAUGGACGGAAGUCUGACCGAGCAACGCCGCGUGAGUGAAGAAGGUUUUCGGAUCGUAAAGCUCUGUUGUAAGAGAAGAACGAGUGUGAGAGUGGAAAGUUCACACUGUGACGGUAACUUACCAGAAAGGGACGGCUAACUACGUGCCAGCAGCCGCGGUAAUACGUAGGUCCCGAGCGUUAUCCGGAUUUAUUGGGCGUAAAGCGAGCGCAGGCGGUUAGAUAAGUCUGAAGUUAAAGGCUGUGGCAACCAUAGUACGCUUUGGAAACUGUUUAACUUGAGUGCAGAAGGGGAGAGUGGAAUUCCAUGUGUAGCGGUGAAAUGCGUAGAUAUAUGGAGGAACACCGGUGGCGAAAGCGGCUCUCUGGUCUGUAACUGACGCUGAGGCUCGAAAGCGUGGGGAGCAAACAGGAUUAGAUACCCUGGUAGUCCACGCCGUAAACGAUGAGUGCUAGGUGUUGGGUCCUUUCCGGGACUCAGUGCCGCAGCUAACGCAUUAAGCACUCCGCCUGGGGAGUACGACCGCAAGGUUGAAACUCAAAG